CAGUCGCCACGGUAAUACGUAGGUGGCAAGCGUUGUCCGGAAUUAUUGGGCGUAAAGCGCGCGCAGGCGGAUAGGUCAGUCUGUCUUAAAAGUUCGGGGCUUAACCCCGUGAUGAGAUGGAAACUGCCAAUCUAGAGUAUCGGAGAGGAAAGUGGAAUUCCUAGUGUAGCGGUGAAAUGCGUAGAUAUUGGGAGGAACACCAGUGGCGAAGGCGGCUUUCUGGACUGCAACUGACGCUGAGGCUCGAAAGCCAGGGGAGCGAACGGGAUUAGAUACCCCUGUAGUCCCUGUCUCUUAUACA
rnacentral:rRNA from 1 species